rnacentral:sRNA from 1 species
CUGGUACACGAAUACUAGUAAGCAUUCUUAAAUGCGACUCCUCCAAGGCUAGGGUCUCGCAGAUGAAAACCAUAAACGGAUAGGCUGGGACCACCGAAAUAAUUUUUUUUAAAAAAAAAAAAAAAAAAUUCAAAGCUUAGAAGAGUGCCCGGUUCGGGCAUUUGAAGACUCUAACCUUCAACAGAUUAAAGUUAGGAACUGACACAAUCCAGACUGAUUGUUUCGUCGCCCAUGGAAGACAUGGUGGGACCGGGAUCUGUUCACCUCCGUAGUCCUAUAAGCUGCCGAGUAACAUGAGAUCUCAAAGAAAACAUUCGCCC